UUGUUUUUAAAUACUAUCUAUUUGUCUUCUUUUGCUAAUUGACUUUACUUUAUUAAUUCACGAUUCUAGUUUAAAAUAAAAACAUUAUUUUAGUUAUAUUAUUGAUAUAAGGUUGACUAGGUUAUGCGUGUAGAACACGUAGAUGUCGUAGAUCGAUUGAUUCGCAUCCGCGGAGGAGCUCACACGUAUGCGCUGUAACGAGAAAGUCGGAGCGAAACGGCGCACUCAUCAACAAGACGGCGGCAGCAGCGGCGGCCGCUGGCCGAUUGUUGCGGCUCGUCCGUCACCCCAGUGUGCUCGGUGACGAGCACGUGGUGCGUGCUCACAUCCCGCAUGCGAGCACCGUAGUACCCGGCUAGCACGCGGCAACAGGAGCUGACAUGAAGGCUUCACCUCUCCCUACGUUGAACAGAGUUUCGCGCGGGUUGUCUCGCCGAGCCCCUCCUAGUGCCAGGAGAUCACGCGGCGCGAGUAGGCGUCCCCGCCCGCCCGUUGGCCGGCCGGUUAUUGCGAUAUUCCGUCAUACCUUGACUUUCGCCCGUGAGGAAUUUUUUCAACAGGAACGCAUGCGGCCGCCUGUAAUUCCGAGACGCCACCGAUAGAAGCGCUAGCGUCAACGAGAGCCGGUUUACAUGUGUCACGUGCACGCGCAAUUCUAUAUAGGGUGUAUCCUAAAGUUGUGCAAGGAUAGAUUUGCCAUCGGAAAGGAUUAGAAGAGCGAUCGGGAAGCCGAUGCGAAUAAAUUUACAUUAGCGCGAAUUCUCGCGGGAAAUAGAUGUAACGUAAUUGUACAAUAUACAUUUGUAUUUAAUAUUUAUUAAUUUUAUUAUAACAUUAUUAUUAUGUAAUGAAUUAUUAAAUAACAUGAUACGCUUUUAUAUAUUCAAUUAUUAUUUCAGUUUAGGUAAUUUCUAAAGUUUUAUAAUCAAAGUUACAUAAAAUAUUACAAAUUCUGUGAGAAAUAAAAUAAAUAUAAUAAAAUUUGAGGGUUUACCGAGUACAAAACUUUGAAGAGCGUAACAUAUUAAAUCAAUCAAAACCUUAACUUAUUUUAUUCGUGUAAACAACAACGCAAUUCUAUCUUCUGUCACUGUCGAACUCGCCGGUGAAUCAAUACGACGCUUCUCACUCGAACGUCGCAAGCCACCCUGUAUAUGUACAUACACUAUCGCCCCUGCGCGUAUAGCGGUCCCCACUCCAAUGUAAGGCUUUAAUUUUAGGGGAAAACGUAAUAAUCCUCGAUCCAUUUCGGAAGCGUUCGCUCGCGGUCCGCCAGUGAUGAUGCGCGCGCGCAUGAUGCGUUACUCGAACCGACGUAAUCGAUAAUCGAAGUCGAGCGUGGAUGAUUCCGCGGCCGAGUCGCAGCAUUCGCGAGUAUGCCGUCGUCGUGUACGGCGGCGUAUACGGGGUCGCGCAUUAUUAAUGCCGAUUUUGGGGAAAAACGGUGUCACUGUCCCGCGACGACGGGUCGCCGCGCGCACAGGGCGUGCACGGGACGGCCGUUAGCGCGCGGCCGCGCGUCGCUACGCGCGAAUCUGUAGCGAGCGGGCGCGGCUCGGCGAGACGCGCGUUGUUCCGGUGGCCGCGGACCCGUAGCCCUGCCGAAAUUCCGUCCAUGCCGAAGUCAAUGAACCAAUAAGCAGUGGAAAGAGAUCGCCGCGGACCAAUGGGAUUACCGCGCGGCUCGCGCGUAAAUUAGCGCGAGGAGAAGCAGGGGAGCAAACAGCCAAACCGACAAGCCGAGCAGGUCGUUCUGUUGCGCGGAAACUGUAGUAUCGUGCUGGAUUUGCUGGCGUUGCAAGAGGAGUGGCUCUGGGCGCGUGUCUAGAUAUCAUCUUGAUGUCAACACACUUGAGACACACGCAUGCGCCUAUCGAAAAAAGACUAUCUAUUUCUCUCGUUAUUUAUUUUCUUAUAAAAAACAGUGCUUUAGCAUAUCGAAAAUGGAAAAUUAUGUUUGUUAAAUUUUAUAUUUAAUUUCAAAUUCUGAUGAUAUAAAAAUGUAUGAAAUAUAGUUCUUCAGAAAUGCUUUACUAUACAAGAAUAUAUUGAAAAACAUUAAUUUAGGAAUAAACUUGAAUAACAAAUAAAGAAGUCUAGAAAAUACUACAUCAAUUUGAUUAAAUUUAAAUUAUCCAAAUCAUUAGCAAAGUAAGUAAUUACAAUAUAAUCAUAACAAAUGAUGAAGAUUUAUAUUUAAGCGUCAGGAAGAAAAAGAAGAGAAAAGGGAGAAUUAUACGAUCCUGUUAUCGUAACGGACGACAGAACGCAUGCUUGAAAAGAUAUAAUAUCGCUUGACGAACAGACAAUAUAUUCAUGUAAAAUGUUCGAUUGAUAAUUUGUCGUUAUAAUCGCUCGCGGCUUCGGCGAAAAUGGAUACUGCAGGUAAUACAAGGCACGCGCACGGGCGAGCUUCUCGCAUCACGUGUUAGCCUGGUGCGAGGAGGGGCUAAAUGAGACAACCCGCGCGAACGACGCUCAACUGUACGAGAGAGGAGAAGGAGCUCCAUUCAUGCUAUCCUGAUAGUGCACGGCCUGUGUGCGGAAUGUGAGCAUGCACCGCACUUCAUUGCGGUCAAGGAACACGAGCCUGACGACCAUCAACAUACACGAUCUGUUCUUUAUAGCUGCAUUGCAAUAAGUUAGAGCGAGAAAAAAGAUGUUUGUCUCACUUUAACGUGUUGCACCAGUUCAGCAGCGCAGCUGUAAAGGGCUGCUGUAACAGGCCAAUAGUAUGGACUGCGCGAUUCGUACAUGAAAAUCCUCGAAAAGUGUCGCUCGUGUCGCUAGAAUUAGACAAAGAGAACGAAGUGACGGCCAAUUGCUCUCUUUUUCCACUUUUCUACGCUACUGAUUAGAAAGAGACGGAGCUUGGCCGUCAGCAGUCGCUAUCUCUUUCUUUCGGCCGGUAUUUUUCAUAUUUUUCUAUACCCGAGCGCAGUCCAUGUCACGUGAUUCUUUAUAGGCAUAACACGCGAGAAGAGCACAAUUAAUCUCUCGACUAAAAAAAACUAAGAAUGCGUCCACACGUGCGCCAAAUAACCGCAAGCGUAGAGAAACAGAUAAACGUCCAGACACUUCGACCUAAUUUUCCCACCCACGGUGAAGUAAUAAAUUUACCUCUACAUCUGCGUUGCGAAACUUGAGGAAGAAUGGUCGUAAAUCUAUCUACUUGUUGGAUAAAAAAUCAUAUGGCUAUAUUUGAGAGUCGUAUUACGUUCAUAGAUUGCGGUAUUAUGGCGACAGCACAGUUGAUAUAUUCGUGUGAAUAAAUAGAUGGACUGUAUCAAAUUGAUGCAUCUGAUCUGAA